GUCGGUGAGAUCCGUUAGCAGCCUUGAGUUCCAGCCACCGGAAGGUCAUGUUUCAACUACCACUGCCUGACCGAACAUGCCUCGUCCCCAUUGUCACCGUUAUUAUUCCCGCCACUGUCUGCUCAACAGACCUAAAAAAAAAAUACACCUCCCCAGCCCCUGCAAGCUGCACCCACCCCACUAAUACCUGGCGAGUCAUCGGAGCGUGACGGAGGCAACAGUCGCCUCCCUUGAGCUCGUCAGCGACUGGAGGUAAACAGCUUGGUCCCCACGUGUAGCCCCCCACCUCUCCCCAUACCCUCCCCACCCUCCCUCAUUCUCUUGGCAACGUUUGUUGGUCAUAUUCACGCAGUGCCACAAGACACAAGACACAAGGUCUGACCACAAGACUGUCGGUGACUUUUAGCAGCAGGUGAUACCAGCUGGGUGUCAUUACAGUGACGAGCUGCAGCCGUUGCCAUCCCCCUCCCCCAGUGGCUGCUGACGUCAACAACAUGCUGUAAAGGACGACAGACAGAAGACGACAUGAAUAUGAAUAACAGAAUGCUGGACAUCAUUCGCGGCUGGUGGUUCCAGGUGGCGCUGCACCUCUCCCUCACAGGUGUUUGGGAACCUCUGGAAGAACGGAUCAUCGUAUUCGUUGUUUUCUCCAGCCUCAUCCUCCUGACCUCUGUAGCCUACAUCUACAUGCCCGGUCACCUGCUCAUGCUCUUCCACUUUUUCCGCAAUAUCAUCAACGAAAUCACUAACAGCAAGUGACAAGGCCACGCCCCUCA
rnacentral:lncRNA from 1 species